rnacentral:rRNA from 1 species
GAUACCCCAGGUCAGGCGGGGCUACCCGCCUAGUUUAAGCAUAUCAAUAA